AGACGUGCAGUGGUGGAGACCUUGGAAGUGGAUACCGAGCACCAAGAUGUGAAAGUGGAAUUCCUGCAUCCCCAUGGUCCAACACGUACUGUUAAGCCCAGGAAUAGCAGUAAGAAAGAUGUCUGUUCCUGUCCAGUUGGAAACAUAAUAACCAAACUAAUGGACAAUGCAAAACCAACCAAAACGAGGACCAGGGAGAUCUACAGCAUUGAUCCAAAUGUGAUGGACUACAUAGAGCGUGAGCACGUCCGACGCCUAAUGCUCAAGGCAUAAGCACAGUCUCUCCUGAAGUGUGGAUCCCCUCAGACCAGACAACAAGACGCAGACGGACCAACACAACCCAGCAGGAAACGGACGCAGAGGGACAGACAGACACAUGCAGACUGCCGCCCUUCUCCACCACCCCCUCCCUCCCCACCUCCCCCUAUCCCACUCCUCCCUCCUUUCCACUCCACCACCUCCUCCUCCCACUAUCUCCCUCCCCUCCAUAACCUCACCCUCCUUCCUUCCCCUCAACCUCCUCCCUCAUCCACCUCCACCCCUCCCACCAUUGCCCUGCCCCCCACCCCAAUCCGACCAAUCUGUUCUAUGGUUU